UACGAAGGGGGCUAGCGUUGCUCGGAAUUACUGGGCGUAAAGGGCGCGUAGGCGGACAGUUUAGUCAGAGGUGAAAGCCCAGGGCUCAACCUUGGAAUUGCCUUUGAUACUGGCUGUCUUGAGUUCGGGAGAGGUGAGUGGAAUGCCUAGUGUAGAGGUGAAAUUCGUAGAUAUUCGGCGGAACACCAGUGGCGAAGGCGACUCACUGGCCCGAUACUGACGCUGAGGCGCGAAAGCGUGGGGAGCAAACAGG
rnacentral:rRNA from 1 species